GCCCAAGAGAUCGGGAUAACACCUGGAAACAGAUGCUAAUACCGGAUAACAACAGAUGAUGCCUAUCAACUGCUUAAAAGAUGGUUCUGCUAUCACUCUUGGAUGGACCUGCGGUGCAUUAGCUAGUUGGUAGGGUAACGGCCUACCAAGGCGAUGAUGCAUAGCCGAGUUGAGAGACUGAUCGGCCACAUUGGGACUGAGACACGGCCCAAACUCCUACGGGAGGCAGCAGCG
rnacentral:rRNA from 1 species